AUCCACUCAUUACCAAACAUCCAUCCACUACACCUACUACAUCUACAACUACAAACAUCCAUCCACGACACCCAUUACAUCCACUCAUUACAAAACAUCCAUCCACUACACCCAUUACAUCCACUCAUUACCAAACAUCCAUCCACUACACUCAUUACAUCCACUCAUUACCAAACAUCCAUCCACUACACCCAUUACAUCCACUCAUUACAAAACAUCCAUCCACUACACCCAUUACAUCCACUCAUUACCAAACAUCCCUCCAUUACACCUACUACAUCUACAACUACAAACAUCCAUCCACGACACCCAUUACAUCUACUCAUUAUAAAACAUCCAUCCAUUACACCCACUACAUCCACUAAUUACCAAACAUCCAUCCACUACACCCAUUACAUCCACUUAUUACAACACAUCCAUCCACUACACCCAUUACAUCCACUAAUUACCAAACAUCUAUCCACUACACCCAUUACAUCCACUUAUUACAACACAUCCAUCCACUACACCCAUUACAUCCACUCAUUACCAAACAUCCAUCCAUUACACCCACUACACCCGUUACAUCCACUCAUUACCAAACAUCUAUCCACUACACCCACUACAUCCACUCAUUACUACCAAACAUCCAUCCACUACACCCACUAUAUCCACUCAUUACCAAACAUCCAUCCACUACACCCAUUACAUCCACUCAUUACCAAACAUUCACCCACUACACCCAUUACAUCCACUUAUUACCACAACACUCACCCACUACACACAUUAC
rnacentral:lncRNA from 1 species